GGGGCAGAACCGCUGCGCGGAGCCUUCCGGACUUCGGUUCCACCUCCCCGCUGCAAAUCUGUGCUCUGCGCGCGCGGCCGCCAGCCGGGCAAAGAUCUGGCUGCGUGUGGGAAAAGAUAGUAACCUAGAAACAGGCCGUCCUCAACAAGUAUAAUAAUAGGUAUAGACAGUGUCUCUUGACUCCCAGCUUUAAAAGAUGAAGAUGCCAGCACCUCUAACCUUCCAGUUGUAUCCUGUGUUUUGGAUUCCCUGUUUUCUUUCCUGGUUUAACCCCUCAUCUUUUUGAAGCACAUCUUCAAGUAGUUGUCUAAGAAAAAGAGCUGGGAAAGCAAGAAAGAACACUGUGGGGUUGAACUGGAAAUGGCUGUAAUGGCACAAAGUCAUGUCUGGAAGUAGAGCAUGCAGACAAGGUUGGCGCAGGCAGAGAACUCAAAGGAGAGAGCAGAGGCGUGAGAACGCCAGGGAGCAGCCCCCAGUGGUGCUGGGCCGAAGUCAGCUUACAAGAGGGA